GUACUGCUGAAUUGGAGUCCCAAACUAGGACGAAACAGCUGUCCAGUAC
rfam:Trichobilharzia regenti genome assembly, scaffold: TRE_scaffold0002367